GGUGGUGUUUUGCGCAAUCAGAGGGUUCAUGUGGCUUGCAGACAAUCAAAUGGCCAGGAACAUUUCUAAGUCCUAAUAGAGGUUAUAUUUUGAUCUAUCGAGGGUUUUGGGCCCUUUAUCAGGGCAGACAGGCCGAUGAGUAGAGUGAACAUCCUGUGGAAUAAAGGAUAGUUGGCUAGAGUUAGCAGUGAGCACUUGAGAGGUAGAAG
rnacentral:lncRNA from 1 species